UCUAAACUGCUGCAUGGUGUUGAAUGGGGAGCUUUGAACGGUCUUUCAAAUAUAAAACAAUGAGAACCAGGCUGUAUUUAUUGAUUUAAAUCAAAACCUGCAUGGACCUCCACACGACAAAGUAGCAUUUACACAUCAGAAAUGUCAGCAGAAAACCCUGGGCUUGUUCUUCCUCUCUGGGGGUCCCAGGGCCUUCGCUCCACCACUCCUCCACCCUGCAGACAGCCGUAGGUUCAGAGAGCUUGUGCCGCUGCUGCUCGACUCCACCGAGCCUCCAAAUGCCAAGAUACAGCAGAUGUGCCCCAGGGGCCAGGACAGCCAGAGGGAGGACAGGAGAAGAUGAAGAGGAAAAGGUGGUGUUGUCGCGGCAUGGCUGCCAGGACCUGACCGCUGAGUGAAGACGUCAGUCAGUGGACACUGACAGCAGCCGAGAGGAGCUUGGAGGGACAGAACGGCAGUUGAAAGGAUGGACUUUGACCUUCCCCCUAUCUGUUUAAUAACCCUUCCCCGCACACACACAUUCUCUCUCACACACACACGCUCAUUCUUGUAUGGCAUUCCUAACGAGGACACUCACAGAUAGAAUGCAUUGCCUAGCCUCUAACCCUCACGGUAACCAAAAGAGAAACUUAACCCACAAAAAGCAACUUGAAGUUGUGAGGCAUAGCCAAAAGAUCCUCACAAGGUCAACAUGUCCAAAGAAAGGCAGGUUUGUAUAAUUAACUUUAACCAGUUCAUGGGAUAAUUCAGAGGAUAAACUUGAAGAAAGAUCUAGAUGUAUAUAUGUUGUCAGAGGACUGGCAAUCAAUGUGCACCAAGGGUCACUAUUAUCAAUCAAAUUAGAUUAGAUCCAAAUGUAUUAUUAUUGAAAAAUACAGAAAUUGUGCAAUUCACAGUAAAUAAAUAAGGUUAUGGGUCAGAUUCAUGAAGCAGAUAAGUGCUAGUAUAUAAAAAAUAUAUAUACGGUAUAUGUGUGUUAUAUAUACACAAGGUGGUAUUGACAGAUGGAAUAUGCAGUCCG